GAUUAAGCCAUGCAUGUGUAAGUAUAAAUAGUUAACUUUGAAACUGCGAAUGGCUCAUUAUAUCAGUUAUAGUUUAUUUGAUGAAGAAUACUAAUUGGAUAACCGUAGUAAUUCUAGAGCUAAUACAUGUAUAAAGUCUUGUAGACUGCAUUUAUUAGAAUGAAAACCAUAGGUUUCGGCCUAUUCGUGAGUAAUAAUAACUAAUCAUAUCGUAUGCUUAUGUAACGA
rnacentral:rRNA from 1 species